rfam:Strigamia maritima strain Brora ctg7180001228296, whole genome shotgun sequence.
UCCCAGGUAGCUUAAUGGUAAAAGCACCCAACCGGCAAUUGGCGGAUCUGGGUUCAAGUCCCGGUCCGGGCU